UACAGAGGAGCCAAGCGUUGUCCGGAUUGACUGGGCGUAAAGCGCACGCAGGCGGCCUAGUGCGUGGGGUGUGAAAUCUGGCCGCUUAACGGCCAGGCGCCAUCCCAUACGGCUAAGCUGGAGGCUGCAGAGGUCGAUGGAAUUGCCGGUGUAGUGGUGAAAUGCGUAGAUAUCGGGAGGAACACCAGUGGCGAAGGCGGCUACCUGGCCCACUCGUUGACGCUGAGGCGCGAAAGCUAGGGGAGCAAACGGG
rnacentral:rRNA from 1 species